UUUCUCCGGGGGCGGGCUGCAAUAAAACAGCAAAAUCCUCCAUUCCCCAUCAGCGGUCGAUUGGGGGCUCUUUCGAAGCGGCAGCUCUGUAGGACCGCUCUUCUACCCCAAGAUCCCUCGGCUUCGGCCCCCUAGGUGCCAGGGUCUGCGGGACCCCACGCUCAAAGCCGCCGGCCGGGGUCGACAACUGCAGAGAGGGUCGGGAUAGGAAAUUGCGGGUAGCGGCAGAUGCGGGUCCCCAGGCAUCCCGGAGGUUCCCACAGGUCUGCAGUGGGCCUACUUUGCGAAAAGGGCCCGGCUGCGCCGAGCCUCGUUCAAAUCAGAUGCCAGACAGUGUUUCUUGGGAUCCAUCCAAAUAGGUCCCUUAUUUCUCUUUGUGGGAGCCCUGGGCCUCCUUCCAGGCCGGAACCCAAGUGCUUAGGCAGCCGGGAAAGGCCGGUCCCCUUUUUCAGUUCUCUCGCGACCUCUAGCCACUUCCGGUUGCUAACGGUUCCCAAACAGCCCCCGAAAACGCUACGUGAGCUGGGCCCUGGGCCAGAGGCAGAAAACGGACGGAAGAAAAGGUCUGGCCGGUUCAUCAAGCUCUCUCUCCAGAUCCUCCAGUACCGUCACUGCCUCCUCUCCAGUCUCUGGAUGGUGUGCACGCACCCAUGCUUGCAGGUCUUUAGGAAGAAUGCUCAGGAACUGUUCUAGCACCAGCAGGUCUAAAAUCUGCUCCUUGGUGUGGCAUUCUGGCCUCAGCCACUGACGGCAGAGCUCCCACAGCUGGGAGAUGGGUCUCACUCUGUCACCCAGACUGGAGUGCAGUGAGUGGUGCGAUCAUAGCUUACUGCAGCCUGAAACUCCUGGGCUCAAGUGAUCUUCUCGCCUCAGCCUCCUGAGUAGCUGGAGCUACAGGUGUGAGCUACCCAGCAUGGCUCAUUUGAGAUUUCUGAGUAGAGAAGUAACAUGAUUAAACUUGGGUAUUGAGAUUAUUAUUUUGGCUGCUAUGUUAACAGUAGACUUGAAUGUGAAGGGGUUGGGCAAGGGCAGAAGCAGGGAGACAGGUUGGAAAGUUGGAGUGGGAAGGGCCUUUUUAAGAAUAACACAAACCCCUAAAGACAUAAAACUGAAAAGGCCAUGGAGGAAAAGAUAAAUGAAACUGGCCUUGUAAAAUUGAAAUAUUUGAAUGAAAAAAGUAAAAAUAAAAUAUAAACUAAAAGUAAAAUAUGCCACACAUCUAAAAGACACAGCUGAUUUUCCUGAUAUACAAAGACCUUUUAUCUUACCAAAAAAUAAAAAUAUGAACAAGCCAAUAGAAAAAUAGACAAAGUACUUAACCUGCAUGCAUUUAUUGUCAGGCCUCUGACAAUAUGAUACUAAGCCAUCAUAGCCCCUGUGACCGCCACGUAUACAUCCAGAUGACCUGGAGCAACUGAAGAACCACAAAAGAUGGCAUUCCACCAUUGAGAUUUGUUCCUGCCCCACCCCAACUAAUCAAUCGACCUUGUGACAUUCCCCCUGCCCCCGACAGUGAGUCUCAUGAUCUCCCCACCCAGCACCUUGGCACCUUGUGACCCCCGCCCCUGCCCACAAGAGAUAACCACCUUUAACUGUAAUUUUCCACUACCUACCCAAAUCCUAUAAAACUGCCCCACCCCUAUCUCCCUUUGCUGACUCUCUUUUUGGACUCAGCCCACUUGCACCCAAGUGAAAUAAACAGCCUUGUUGCUCACACAAAGCCUGUUGGUGGACUCUCUUCACACAGACUCACUUGACAUUUAUAGAACACAAAAUUAAGAAUAGUGAAUAUGAAAAGGUUCACUAAUAAGAAUUUAAACAAAACAAGAAAGAUUUUUAAGAUUGCUAAAGACAAACGAUUUAUAAUAUUCAGUGUUAGGAGGUGUGUGGAUAUACAGGCAUACUUAGUUUUACAUUUUUAGAAGGUAAGACUUAUUUAGAAGGUAAGAAGUUGUCCAUACCCCUUGAUUCAACAACUUAGCUUCUUGGAAUUAUCCAUAUAGAAAUGCUUACAUAAAUGUUUGAACGUAUGUACAAAGAAGCACUAUUUAUUUAAAUUGGGAAACUUGAAUGCCUAACAUUUGGAAUUUAAAUUUUUAUAUGUCUAUUCAUUAAAAUACCACCCAGUUUUUAGAAACUAAGAGAUGCUAAAGGUAUAUUGAGUAAAAUAAAAAGUUACAAAAGAU
rnacentral:lncRNA from 1 species